UACGGAGGGAGCUAGCGUUGUUCGGAAUUACUGGGCGUAAAGCGCACGUAGGCGGCUUUUCAAGUCAGGGGUGAAAUCCCGGGGCUCAACUCCAGAACUGCCUUUGAUACUGGCGAUCUUGAGUCCGGGAGAGGUGAGUGGAACUGCGAGUGUAGAGGUGAAAUUCGUAGAUAUUCGCAAGAACACCAGUGGCGAAGGCGGCUCACUGGCCCGGUACUGACGCUGAGGUGCGAAAGCGUGGGGAGCAAACAGG
rnacentral:rRNA from 1 species